UACGGGGGGGUGCGAGCGUUGUCCGGAUUCACUGGGCGUAAAGGGCGCGUAGGCGGCCGGGUCAGUCGGGCCUGUAAGUGCGGGGCUCAACCCCGUGAUGGGCUCGGGACGGCACGGCUGGGGCGCGGCAGAGGGAGACGGAAUGCCGGGUGUAGUGGUGAAAUGCGUAGAGAUCCGGCGGAACACCGGUGGUGAAGACGGUCUCCUGGGCCGAGGGCCGACGCUGAGGCGCGAGAGCGUGGGGAGCGAACCGG
rnacentral:rRNA from 1 species